rnacentral:rRNA from 1 species
GCCGCGAAUUCGCCCUUAGGGUUUGAUUAUGGCUCAGGAUGAACGCUGGCGGCGUGCCUAAUACAUGCAAGUCGAGCGAAUGGAUUAAGAGCUUGCUCUUAUGAAGUUAGCGGCGGACGGGUGAGUAACACGUGGGUAACCUGCCCAUAAGACUGGGAUAACUCCGGGAAACCGGGGCUAAUACCGGAUAACAUUUUGAACCGCAUGGUUCGAAAUUGAAAGGCGGCUUCGGCUGUCACUUAUGGAUGGACCCGCGUCGCAUUAGCUAGUUGGUGAGGUAACGGCUCACCAAGGCAACGAUGCGUAGCCGACCUGAGAGGGUGAUCGGCCACACUGGGACUGAGACACGGCCCAGACUCCUACGGGAGGCAGCAGUAGGGAAUCUUCCGCAAUGGACGAAAGUCUGACGGAGCAACGCCGCGUGAGUGAUGAAGGCUUUCGGGUCGUAAAACUCUGUUGUUAGGGAAGAACAAGUGCUAGUUGAAUAAGCUGGCACCUUGACGGUACCUAACCAGAAAGCCACGGCUAACUACGUGCCAGCAGCCGCGGUAAUACGUAGGUGGCAAGCGUUAUCCGGAAUUAUUGGGCGUAAAGCGCGCGCAGGUGGUUUCUUAAGUCUGAUGUGAAAGCCCACGGCUCAACCGUGGAGGGUCAUUGGAAACUGGGAGACUUGAGUGCA